UAAUACGUAGGUGGCAAGCGUUGUCCGGAUUUACUGGGUGUAAAGGGCGUGUAGGCGGGAUUGCAAGUCAGAUGUGAAAUGCCGGGGCUUAACCCCGGAGCUGCAUUUGAAACUGUAGUUCUUGAGUGAUGGAGAGGCAGGCGGAAUUCCUAGUGUAGCGGUGAAAUGCGUAGAUAUUAGGAGGAACACCAGUGGCGAAGGCGGCCUGCUGGACAUUAACUGACGCUGAGGCGCGAAAGCGUGGGGAGCAAACAGG
rnacentral:rRNA from 1 species